UACGUAGGGGGCAAGCGUUGUCCGGAUUUAUUGGGCGUAAAGAGCGUGUAGGCGGCUUUACAGGUCCGUUGUGAAAACUCGAGGCUCAACCUCGAGACGCCGGUGGAAACCGUAAGGCUAGAGUCCGGAAGAGGAGAGUGGAAUUCCUGGUGUAGCGGUGAAAUGCGCAGAUAUCAAGCGGAACACCAGUGGCGAAGGCGAGUCCCUGGACAACUCCUGACACUGAGGCACGAAAGCUAGGGGAGCAAACAGG
rnacentral:rRNA from 1 species